GACGAACCGUGCGAACGUUGUUCGGCAUCACUGGGCUUAAAGGGCGCGUAGGCGGGCAAGCAAGUCAGGGGUGAAAGCCCACGGCUCAACCGUGGAAGUGCCUUUGAUACUGUUUGUCUGGAGGGAGGUAGGGGCGUGCGGAACUUCCGGUGGAGCGGUGAAAUGCGUAGAUAUCGGGAGGAACACCAGUGGCGAAGGCGACUACCUGGCCUGUUCUUGACGCUGAGGCGCGAAAGCUAGGGGAGCAAACGGG
rnacentral:rRNA from 1 species